AUCUUCUUUCCAUAUCAGAUAAUUAUCAUUGAUAUUUGGUAUCCCCUCCCUAUCCUUCUGCAGAUAUAAAAGUUCUCUAAGCUUGCCAGUCUAACAAUCUUCUCCUCCAAGUGGCAGUUUUAGGCUUUGCAUCAUGUCUGGUUUCGGUUAUCCAGUAUGGAACUAUGGUCAUUACCCAGCACCACAUCAUCCUGGACAUCAUCCUCAUCCACGUCCACCUCCACCUCCACCUCCUCGCUAUUUGCCCUUUUUUUUGCCCCCCAGGGGACGUUAUGUGCGUCCUUAUUACUACAAUUCUUACGGACGCCAUUAUUAGCAGCCUGUGGUGGAAAGUAGAUUUACAAGCAAAAAGAAAAUUUACAGAAAAGCUGUUUGCAAUAGAUUUUACACAGAAAAAUAAAAAUGUAAAUUCCUUGGUGCUUUAUUGGGCAUAGAAAAUAAAAGCUCUUUAGACCAAA